rnacentral:rRNA from 1 species
AUACAGAGGGUGCGAGCGUUAAUCGGAAUUACCGGGCGUAAAGCGCGCGUAGGCGGCUUGGUCAGUCGGAUGUGAAAGCCCCGGGCUCAACCUGGGAAUGGCAUUCGAUACUGCCAGGCUAGAGUAUGGGAGAGGGAAGUGGAAUUUCCGGUGUAGCGGUGAAAUGCGUAGAUAUCGGAAGGAACACCAGUGGCGAAGGCGACUUCCUGGCCCAAUACUGACGCUGAGGUGCGAAAGCGUGGGGAGCGAACAGGAUUAGAUACCCUAGUAGUCC